AAAGCUAGGUCAUUAUGAUCCGCCUUUUUUAAAAAGAGUUUGUUGCAAAUAGAUCAGCAGUCCUGAAGAUCUCCUGAAUAUCUUCUUUGGAGAAGUCGAAAGAAAAAAACCCACACGCAGAAGUAAUAUAUACUAACAUUCCCGCAACCUUCCCCAGUACCUCCUGCCUCUACUAUCGUAAUCUUUGGGAGGCUAAGAGCCUUUUCGGAGGAUCCCAGGAGGGAGGUGUGCUGUGUGGGAUCCUUAUGAUACUAAGAGACUAAACACAGAGAACAUUCCUUACGUGUACUGACUUUGAUGAAGGAGGUGAUGUCCUGGUGGCACGUUGCGAUCAUGACGCUGUCACCGUUGGAUCAGCUGGUGAUAACCAAUUUAUCAACAUCAAAGCUCUUAAUGAAUGGGACUCAAGGUUGUCUGGUGGAGUCGAAUGGCGCCAGAAACUGGACACUCAGCGAGGUGCUGUUCAGGCCAACGAGCUGAAGAAUAAUGCAUGCAAGCUAACAAAAUGGAGUGUGCAAGCUCUGCUCGCCAACUCUGAUUGGAUUAAAUUCGGGUAUGUGAAGGCUCCUGUUGUCCUUCGAACAUUAUUGUAACUAAUAUUGUUUGCUUCAAAUAUGUUUCCCGUAUGCACUUACGAGAUACAUCGCGUCGUGUAAUCCUUGGAACACAGCAGUUCCGCCCGUCACGCAUCGCAAAUCAACCUUAACAUCGACAAUGCUUGGGGCAUUCUCCGUUGUAUUAUUGAUUUGAGUAUGAAGGAAGAGGAUGGCAAAUUUUUGUUGGUGAAGGAUCCUAACAAGCCCGUCAUCCGCCUUUACAAGGUGCCCGACAACACGUUUGGGGCGACGAUGAAGCAUUUUUCGGAGAAGGAGAAGAAGACGAGUAACGGCUGAUACAAACAAAAGAACAGCUCUUCCACCGAUUCCCCAAUUACUACGUUUGUAAUGAUCGUUACAUGGAAUAAAGCACUUAUGAAGCUUCCAGUUUA